CAAUAGCGUAUAUUAAAGUUGUUGCGGUUAAAAAGCUCGUAGUUGGAUUUCUGUUGGGAACGACCGGUCCGCCCAUUGGGUGUGUAUCUGGCUUGUUCUCGGCAUCUUCUUGGUGAACGUUGCUGCACUUGACUGUGUGGAGCGCUACCCAGGACUUUUACUUUGAGGAAAUUAGAGUGUUUCAAGCAGGCAUAUGCCUUGAAUACAUUAGCAUGGAAUAAUAAGAUAGGACCUCGGUUCUAUUUUGUUGGUUUCUAGAGCUGAGGUAAUGAUUAAUAGGGAUAGUUGGGGGCAUUCGUAUUUAACUGUAAGAGGUGAAAUUCUUGGAUUUGUUAAAGACGGACUACUGCGAAAGCAUUUGCCAAGGAUGUUUUCAUUGA
rnacentral:rRNA from 1 species